AUUGAACGCUGGCGGCAGGCCUAACACAUGCAAGUCGAGCGGAGCGGCGGACGGGGGAGUAAUGCCUAGGAAUCUGCCUGGUAGUGGGGGAUAACGUCGGGAAACGGGCGCUAAUACCGCAUACUAGCAGAGGAGCCUAGGUCGGAUUGGCUGGUGGGUGGGGUAAAGGCAUACCAGGGCGACGAUCCGUAACUGGUCUGAGAGGAUGAUCAGUCACACUGGAACUGAGACACGGUCCCACCUCCUACGGGAGGCAGCAGUGGGGAAUAUUUGACAAUGGGCUAAAGCCUGAUCCAGCCAUGCCGCGUGUGUGAAGAAGUUCUUCGGAUUGUAAAGCACUUUCAGUUGGGAGGCGUUACCAACAGAAUAAGCACCGGCUAACUUCGUGCCAGCAGCCGCGGUAAUAC
rnacentral:rRNA from 1 species